rnacentral:lncRNA from 1 species
AUGAACCAUCUGCCUUGUGGACAGCUCAAGAUGGACAGGAAAGCAAAGGGCCCCAGGCCGGAUCUGGAACCAUGGCAGCUGCAGCAAGGACCCAACCCCGGCUCGUGCUUCUUCGAAAACGUCAGUGGCCUCUGUGGAGCACCGCAGGGAGAUGGCACCCAUUCCAGACACUCCCCAGAAGCCACAGUCGCACCCCGUCAUCAGAGAAGGCCAGGAUCCCACCGGCGAGGCGGGGAAGGACACCCUGUGGCUUGGACACAUAGUUCCACUCCACCGCUCAAGGAGCUUAGUAAAGUCUGUGAAAAUAACCCUGAGGAGCAAACAGAGAGGUGGUUCAGUGUGCACAUCCCAUUCUAA